GGUCCGAGCUUCCUGCCAGGAGCCCAGUGGACUGGAGGGGAGAGGGGGAGGAGGCUGUGGACACUGCAUCAGGACCCAGGAAUGCUCCACUGGACGGGAAGCAAAGACAGCCAACUUCCUUCCCAGUUUCUGCUGCUCUGAGGGGUGACCAGAAAAUGGGCCAUCUGGAGGGUUGAGUGGACUCCUCUGUCCCUGACUCAGUCACAGCCAGGCCCUCGCCGACCCCCAUUUCGAGAACAAGGCGCCCCCAGCCCCCUGCCCUGCCGCUUGUGUUAAGCACAUUUGGGACCUGCCAGAUCCAAGUUUGGCAACAGGUGCCCAGGUGUGUGAGCCUCAAACUGCUUCUGCCCCUGCUGGAAAGAAUGUUUGCACUCUGGAUUGGAUGGGCUGAGUGGCUGCUCCAGUGCCAGGCUGAGGUUGAGCAAGGUGCCACCUCCUGAGUCAGCAGGAGUCUGGAGCACACCAACCAGAGAAAGUCCUGGAAGCAGAGGUAGAGGGGAAGAAGAAUUGAAGGUGGGAACCAGGGCUCUAUAGAGAGAACUGGGCCAGGCCAGGAGUGCGCUACAACACCAAGGCCCCCACAAGGGGGAGAAGAAAAACCUGUUGAGAGAAAACCCUGGACCAGCAGCCCAGGAUACCAAGGUUCUGUUCUAAUUCUACCUCCCAGAGGCUGUGUGACAAGAGGAAGCCGCUUUCCUUCUCUGGGCUUCUGUUUAUCUACCUUGAAGGUUGAAAAAACAGAGGAAAUGAAAUAUGUAAAGCGUGGAGCCCAGAGGCAGGAGUAGGUGCUCAAUAGACAUGAGUUCUCUUCCCUUAUCCUGAACACGGCUGUUGAUCCCUCUCCAGGGGUCUAACUAAGGCACUUUGCAGCCCAGAUAGUCCAUGUCUCUGAAGGAAUCCCUCUUUUCUUCCCCCAUUAACACUAGCAGGCUCAACACACCCAGAUCCCAAAGAGACCCUGCUUGGAGUGGGCGAGGUGGGGUGGGGAAGGGAGUUGAACACUAAGAAGGGGAGGAAGCUAGGGGUGGAGGCAGGUGCACACGCAUGACAACAGGAG
ensembl:lncRNA